AUCCAGCUCGUCCCAAACAGGACGAGACGCGCGUCCUGGAU
rnacentral:hammerhead_ribozyme from 1 species